GAUGAACGCUGGCGGCGUGCAUAACACAUUCAAGUCGAACGGUGAAGAGGACUUCGGUCCUCUGAUCAGUGGCGGACGGGUGAGUAACGCGUGAGCAACCUGCCCUUGUGUGGGGGAUAACGUCUGGAAACAGACGCUAAUACCGCAUAACGUAUUUGAACUGCAUGGUUUGAAUACCAAAGAUUUAUUGCGCAAGGAUGGGCUCGCGUUGGAUUAGAUAGUUGGUGGGGUAACGGCCUACCAAGUCGACGAUCAGUAGCCGGACUGAGAGGUUGAACGGCCACAUUGGGACUGAGAUACGGCCCAGACUCCUACGGGAGGCAGCAGUGGGGAAUAUUGGGCAAUGGGGGAAACCCUGACCCAGCAACGCCGCGUGAAGGAAGAAGGCUUUCGGGUUGUAAACUUCUUUUACCAGGGACGAAGACGUGACGGUACCUGGAGAAAAAGCCACGGCUAACUACGUG
rnacentral:rRNA from 1 species